AUAAAUUUAUGAUUCAAUUCUGAAAAUCUAUGGUAUGCUGCAAUAAAUUUAGGAAAAAAAUUUCCUUGAUAACUAACUGGAAAAUUAGUGUCAUUCCUAACAGGAAAGAGCAUGUUUAUACCUGAAACAUGCUGUGGCAAAAUGCCCUAAGAACUAUAUAUUAUGGAAAAAAUUUUAAUUCUUAAAAAAAUAAGUAAUUGAAGGCAUGCUAAUUCUCUUUUUACUAGGAGUGAAUAUGUGCCUCAACUAAAGGUAGUACAGAUGCACUGAGGAGUCUGAUAGUACUUUUAAAGGAGAGUUUAUGAAUGUAUUUUUUCUUUUUUUCUGCAAGUGUAAUAAUAAGCUUUGGCAAAUAAAGGUAAAUAAGGAAAACUGACUUACCCAGUGAAAAAAUGGCCCUAAAACAUUUUAAAGAACUAUUGUGAAUGAAAGACGAGAAAUAGCUGAUAGCUCUGGAAUUAUUACAAUCAGAUACUAAAAACAUGAAAAACUUAGCAAGAAGAAAUGAAUCUCACUAAUUGGAUGGUUGAUAAGCAUUUUCAGAAUUACGAACGGCAAUAUUUCAGUCUGCAGUAAUGAUUAAGAACAAAAAACACAAAAAAGUAAAAGUGCGGAAUUCCUGAAAGAUAUAAACCUACUGCACAGUGAUGUAGGAAAAUAUGUUCUUUGCAUUUCAGAUAAUUCUGUAAGUUUGUAACAAGUAAUUGGAUGAAUGGAGGGUAGAAGAAAAAAACUACUGAGUAACUUCAUCUAUAAUUUGAUUUUAAUUUUUUUAUUUGGUCUUAGAUUAAGGAAGAGAACAAACAAUCAAGAGUGUUUAGACUGAUGUCCAUGAAAAGAUGAAAAUAGUCACAAUUGGAAAAUGAAAAAAGACUGGAGUUAGAUGAUGUUCCAGUAAUGCACAUUAUUAAGCAUAAUUAUAUAGAAGAGAUGCCCCUUGUCACUCCACACAAAAUCAAGGCGUUAGCCACAUUGCUCAGUUAGGUGCUCUUUGAUGUGCCUGUCCAUCCUGAAGAACUCACAGAGGCAUUUCGAACUCACACAGCCCAUGGGCUGUGACAUCCCUGAAGAGGACAACAUUCCACAUGUUAAGCUGACCACAAUGAGGCAGGAUGGAGUUGAGGCAGUGAAGACUUCAUUUUUUAUGUGAGCAUUGCCAUUCUUAAUCUUGAAGUAGCCAUCAGGGAGUGUGAAAGGGAAAAGUGUAUUGAAAACAGCCCCCGUGUUUGCUUCAGCGUAAGCCUCUAAAUAUGCUUUUUGUAUGGUUGGGUGUAAGAGGGGAGAUAUCUAACACUGUGAGAUUGAUGGAAGGGAAGUGGAUAAGUAAUUGAUCACGGAGAAUAGUACUGCCUAACCAGCAUAUGAUUUCCCAUCCGCUAGGACCAACAAAAGAAUAUGCAAGAAGGAACUGGAGUCAGCUCUUGACACUGGGGAGGAGUAGUUUGUGUAACAGAGAAAAGUACUAAUUUUAGCAAAAUAACCCCAUCUCUUAGUCUAGUCAGUAAAGUCAAAAGGCUGUCCCUCUUGGCUGAAGGCAAUCAGACACCUUAUGUGCAGAGGUCCCAGUAUAUUCAAGAGCAGAUGGCGCCUUGCUGUAUGAAACAUUUAAUGAUGUGUGCUAAUGAAACUAGAGUUUAUGCUCUGCUGGGGCACAGGGGCUCUUUGCAGGCUCC
ensembl:lncRNA